CGAUGAAGCCUAGCUUGCUAGGUGGAUUAGUGGCGAACGGGUGAGUAAUACGUGAGUGACCUACCUUUGACUCUGGGAUAAGCCUGGGAAACUGGGUCUAAUACCGGAUACGACCAAUCUCCGCAUGGGGUGUUGGUGGAAAGCGUUAUGGAGUGGUUUUAGAUGGGCUCACGGCCUAUCAGCUUGUUGGUGAGGUAAUGGCUUACCAAGGCGACGACGGGUAGCCGGCCUGAGAGGGUGACCGGCCACACUGGGACUGAGACACGGCCCAGACUCCUACGGGAGGCAGCAGUGGGGAAUAUUGCACAAUGGGCGCAAGCCUGAUGCAGCGACGCCGCGUGAGGGAUGACGGCCUUCGGGUUGUAAACCUCUGUUAGCAUCGAAGAAGCGAAAGUGACGGUAGGUGCAGAGAAAGCGCCGGCUAACUACGUGCCAGCAGCCGCGGUAAUACGUAGGGCGCGAGCGUUGUCCGGAAUUAUUGGGCGUAAAGAGCUUGUAGGCGGUUGGUCGCGUCUGCUGUGAAAGGCUGGGGCUUAACCCUGGUUUUGCAGUGGGUACGGGCUAACUAGAGUGCAGUAGGGGAGACUGGAAUUCCUGGUGUAGCGGUGGAAUGCGCAGAUAUCAGGAGGAACACCGAUGGCGAAGGCAGGUCUCUGG
rnacentral:rRNA from 1 species